rnacentral:rRNA from 1 species
GUCUAAGGUAAAGUCGAUGAUUGGGGUGAAGUCGUAACAAGGUAGCCGUAUCGGAAGGUGCGGCUGGAUCACCUCCUUUCUAGGGAGA